rnacentral:rRNA from 1 species
GACGAACGCUGGCAGCGUGCUUAACACAUGCAAGUCGAACGGUAAGGCCCUUCGGGGGUACACGAGUGGCGAACGGGUGAGUAACACGUGUGUGAUCUGCCCUGCACUUCGGGAUACGCCUGGGAAUCUGGGUCUAAUACCGGAUAGGACCACUGUCUGCAUGGGGGGUGGUGUGGAGCUUUUGCGGUGUGGGAUGGGCCCGCGGCCUAUCAGCUUGUUGGUGGGGUGAUGGCCUACCAAGGCGACGACGGGUAGCCGGCCUGAGGGGGGUGACCGGCCACACUGGGACUGAGAUACGGCCCAGACUCCUACGGGAGGCAGCAGUGGGGAAUAUUGCACAAUGGGCGAAAGCCUGAUGCAGCGACGCCGCGUGAGGGAUGACGGCCUUCGGGUUGUAAACCUCUUUCAGCACCGACGAGGCGCAAGUGACGGUAGGUGCAGAAGAAGGACCGGCCAACUACGUGCCAGCCGCCGCAGUAA